rnacentral:ncRNA from 1 species
UAAGUCUCGCAACGAGCGCAACCCUCGUGUUUAGUUGCCACUAUGAGUUUGGAACCCUGAACAGACCGCCGGUGUUAAGCCGGAGGAAGGAGAGGAUGAGGCCAAGUCAUCAUGCCCAUUAUGCCCUGGGCGACACACGUGCUACAAUGGGCGGGACAAAGGGUCGCGAUCUCGCGAGGGUGAGCUAACUCCAAAAACCCGUCCUCAGUUCGGAUUGCAGGCUGCAACUCGCCUGCAUGAAGCAGGAAUCGCUAGUAAUCGCCGGUCAGCCA